rnacentral:rRNA from 1 species
UACGUAGGGUGCAAGCGUUAAUCGGAAUUACUGGGCGUAAAGCGUACGCAGGCGGCUUUGCAAGACAGGUGUGAAAUCCCCGGGCCUAACCUGGGAACUGCAUUUGUGACUGCAUGGCUAGAGUUUGUCAGAGGGGGGUGGAAUUCCUGGUGUAGCGGUGAAAUGCGCAGAUAUCAGGAGGAACACCAGCGGCGAAGGCGGCGCUCUGGGCCGGAACUGACGCUGAGGAGCGAAAGCGUGGGUAGCAAACAGG